rnacentral:misc_RNA from 1 species
AGAGAACAUAACGUCGUCAUCGGUGUGAGUGCAGCGGAAGCGGCCGAAAACGUGAAUACAAAAGCACGUGAAUGAAACCACCAAAAGUUCAACUGGAUCAGCCGACUAAGAACUGAAUAAAGGUGCUUAAGCUCGGUACGUCGAACACGACAAUCCAAAAAAAAAAAAUCGCACACGCACACCAUGAUAGAAACGAAGCACAGUGUGCAGCAAGGUGGGCUUGACAAUCAUAGAUUCAAGUUCCGCGCUGGAAGAGUCAAGGUAGCACGUUGCUGACCUUCCUCGUCGGCUCGUCACUCACCCGCACUAGCCCACCCUCACCCCACCCCCUUACACACACACCAGCACUUUUCUUUCUUUCCAGCAUAUUUCGAAACAGCCUUCCCUGCGCAGCUGCCCUGUUGCGUGUGUGUCUGUGCGUCUCGGCGAGCAGCUUUCUGAUAAGCCAACGCUCACCCGGCGUCAUCUUGACUUGAACAUACAUACGCUCCUCUACAUCUUCGUUGCAUCGCACCCUUCAG